rnacentral:rRNA from 1 species
UACGAAGGGGGCUAGCGUUGCUCGGAAUCACUGGGCGUAAAGGGUGCGUAGGCGGGUCUUUUAAGUCAGGGGUGAAAUCCUGGAGCUCAACUCCAGAACUGCCUUUGAUACUGAGGAUCUUGAGUUCGGGAGAGGUGAGUGGAACUGCGAGUGUAGAGGUGAAAUUCGUAGAUAUUCGCAAGAACACCAGUGGCGAAGGCGGCUCUCUGGGACGGUACUGACGCUGAGACGCGAAAGCGUGGGGAGCGAACAGG